AAACAUCGCCUGCUGCAAAUAUAGUAGGUCUGUCCUGCCCAGUGAUAAUAAUUCAACGGCCGCGGUACCUUGACCGUGCAAAGGUAGCAUAAUCAUUUGCCUUUUAAUUAAAGGCUAGUAUGAAUGGAUCCACAAGAAUAAAACUGUCUCAUUUCUAAAAUAAAUAUAAACUGAUAUCUAAAUGAAGAAGUUUAGAUACUAAUAAAGGACAAGAAGACCCUAUAGAGCUUUAUUAUUAUUUAGACAUACUAAUAUAAUAAAUUGAUUGGGACAAUCUUAAGACAUAUAAACCUCUUAUAAUUUAAAUAUACUACACCCUAACUUGUAAAUGAAUAAGCUACCUUAGGGAUAACAGGCUAAUCUUACUAAAGAGAUCACAUUGACAGUAAGGAUUGGCACCUCGAUGUUGGCUUAGUGUAACUAUAGGGUGCAGCCGCCUUAUUAAGUUGGUUUGUUCAACCAUUAAAUCACUACGUGAU
rnacentral:rRNA from 1 species